rnacentral:rRNA from 1 species
CAAAUGUCAUGAGCGCAGCUGACGCAGCGACGCCGCGUGAGGGAUGAAGGUUUUCGGAUCGUAAACCUCUGUCAGAAGGGAAGAAACCGCCCCGUGCUAAUCAGCGGUGCCUUGACGGUUCCUUCAAAGGAACCACCGGCUAACUCCGUGCCAGCAGCCGCGGUAAUAAC